CGAAUAUUGAAGAGGAAGCUUUGAGAAGCUUUACCCGGGAUGACCUAAAGGAUCUUUUUCCGGGCCAUGAAAAUUUCUUCCGGAGAAGGAAGAUUUGGGAUUUCAUCAGCCAAAAGUUUAAGAGUACUGACCAAGAUGCCAACACUUGCCAUCGAACCGAGAGUAACCCCUUAUGCUUUGAUGUGUCACAAUGUCAGCCUCAAACUUCCACUCCCAUUUCCUACACUGCUGACAAAAAAAUGAAAAUGCCACACCCACCAGAGUAUGUGGUGUAUACAGAUUCAGAGUUGGACAUGGUGCGAAGUCAGUACUUUGCAUUGCUCCACAGUGGAAAGGAAAAGGACUGUAAGAUGUCGAAGGAGCUCUGUUGCAGACAUGUAAGGAACACAGUCACCAGCAUGGUUGCAAUCCUCCGUGCUAGUCCCAUGGGGAAAGAAGUAAGAUACCCCUCCAAACUCGAAAUGAGAGCAAUGUCACAGAAGAUUGUCGACUAUUACCCCAUGUUACGUGAUGCUGACACACACAUGCCAUACCUGACCAUCUACACCAAACUGUACAAACGACUCCAAAAUAUGAAGUCUCCAAGGAAGAGGCAGGGCUCCAUGCCGCAACGAGGCAGGCUCGGGAAGACUCUUUUCAGCUCAGAUGAUACAGACAAUGGGACUGAAGGUGACCUAAGUGGUGAAGCAAGUGGUUCAAGUGACUAUAUCAUACUUCUUGA
rnacentral:lncRNA from 1 species